CAGCAUGCUAUCCGAAGAACCUGGGCUUGUUCAUGGCGUCAGGUUUUCCAAGUGCAUGCGAGAACAUGGGGCAGUCUUUGACUAUUGUGGACCUUUGUGCCAUAAACAGCCACUCAGCUGUCCAACAGCA